AAUAUUGGUCAAUGGACGCAAGUCUGAACCAGCCAUGCCGCGUGGAGGAUGAAGGUCCUCUGGAUUGUAAACUUCUUUUAUUGGGGAAGAAAUGCAGGUUUUCUAACUUGCUUGACGGUACUCAAUGAAUAAGCACCGGCUAACUCCGUGCCAGCAGCCGCGGUAAUACGGAGGGUGCAAGCGUUAUCCGGAUUUACUGGGUUUAAAGGGAGCGCAGGCGGGCUGAUAAGUCAGUGGUGAAAUCCCCGAGCUUAACUUGGGAACUGCCAUUGAUACUAUUGGUCUUGAAUGUUGUGGAGGUAAGCGGAAUAUGUCAUGUAGCGGUGAAAUGCAUAGAUAUGACAUAGAACACCUAUUGCGAAGGCAGCUUACUACGCAAAUAUUGACGCUGAGGCUCGAAAGCGUGGGGAUC
rnacentral:rRNA from 1 species